GGCGGACGGGUGAGUAAUGUCUGGGAAACUGCCCGAUGGAGGGGGAUAACUACUGGAAACGGUAGCUAAUACCGCAUAACGUCGCAAGACCAAAGAGGGGGACCUUAGGGCCUCUUGCCAUCGGAUGUGCCCAGAUGGGAUUAGCUAGUAGGUGGGGUAACGGCUCACCUAGGCGACGAUCCCUAGCUGGUCUGAGAGGAUGACCAGCCACACUGGAACUGAGACGCGGUCCAG
rnacentral:rRNA from 1 species